CAAACGCCUUCCAGCUGCAGAUCGUCGGUUACAAAAUUCUUCAGUGAUUGAUAAUCACCAGUCCAUGCUAAGCUAAGCUUUUCACCAAAUAAUAUCGCCAUAACCUUAUUCGCGUUCAAAGAUUAUGCGUUCAAAGACUAACCAAGUAAAUUAUUGAUUCAUUUAUAGUCUAUAUACUUUCUUAAUGACUAAAGUUGAGGAGCCCAAAAAUAGACAUCCUCCUCGAGCCAAUAUGUGUUCAGUAUGUUUAAUACACC